AAAUUGAAGAGUUUGAUCAUGGCUCAGAUUGAACGCUGGCGGCAGGCCUAACACAUGCAAGUCGAACGGUAGCACAGAGAGCUUGCUCUCGGGUGACGAGUGGCGGACGGGUGAGUAAUGUCUGGGAAACUGCCUGAUGGAGGGGGAUAACUACUGGAAACGGUGGCUAAUACCGCAUAACGUCGCAAGACCAAAGAGGGGGACCUUCGGGCCUCUUGCCAUCAGAUGUGCCCAGAUGGGAUUAGCUUGUUGGUGAGGUAACGGCUCACCAAGGCGACGAUCCCUAGCUGGUCUGAGAGGAUGACCAGCCACACUGGAACUGAGACACGGUCCAGACUCCUACGGGAGGCAGCAGUGGGGAAUAUUGCACAAUGGGCGCAAGCCUGAUGCAGCCAUGCCGCGUGUAUGAAGAAGGCCUUCGGGUUGUAAAGUACUUUCAGCGGGGAGGAAGGUGUUGUGGUUAAUAACCACAGCAAUUGACGUUACCCGCAGAAGAAGCACCGGCUAACUCCGUGCCAGCAGCCGCGGUAAUACGGAGGGUGCAAGCGUUAAUCGGAAUUACUGGGCGUAAAGCGCACGCAGGCGGUCUGUCAAGUCGGAUGUGAAAUCCCCGGGCUCAACCUGGGAACUGCAUUCGAAACUGGCAGGCUUGAGUCUUGUAGAGGGGGGUAGAAUUCCAGGUGUAGCGGUGAAAUGCGUAGAGAUCUGGAGGAAUACCGGUGGCGAAGGCGGCCCCCUGGACAAAGACUGACGCUCAGGUGCGAAAGCGUGGGGAGCAAACAGGAUUAGAUACCCUGGUAGUCCACGCCGUAAACGAUGUCUACUUGGAGGUUGUGCCCUUGAGGCGUGGCUUCCGGAGCUAACGCGUUAAGUAGACCGCCUGGGGAGUACGGCCGCAAGGUUAAAACUCAAAUGAAUUGACGGGGGCCCGCACAAGCGGUGGAGCAUGUGGUUUAAUUCGAUGCAACGCGAAGAACCUUACCUGGUCUUGACAUCCACAGAAGAAUCCAGAGAUGGAUUUGUGCCUUCGGGAACUGUGAGACAGGUGCUGCAUGGCUGUCGUCAGCUCGUGUUGUGAAAUGUUGGGUUAAGUCCCGCAACGAGCGCAACCCUUAUCCUUUGUUGCCAGCGGUCCGGCCGGGAACUCAAAGGAGACUGCCAGUGAUAAACUGGAGGAAGGUGGGGAUGACGUCAAGUCAUCAUGGCCCUUACGACCAGGGCUACACACGUGCUACAAUGGCGCAUACAAAGAGAAGCGACCUCGCGAGAGCAAGCGGACCUCAUAAAGUGCGUCGUAGUCCGGAUUGGAGUCUGCAACUCGACUCCAUGAAGUCGGAAUCGCUAGUAAUCGUGGAUCAGAAUGCCACGGUGAAUACGUUCCCGGGCCUUGUACACACCGCCCGUCACACCAUGGGAGUGGGUUGCAAAAGAAGUAGGUAGCUUAACCUUCGGGAGGGCGCUUACCACUUUGUGAUUCAUGACUGGGGUGAAGUCGUAACAAGGUAACCGUAGGGGAACCUGCGGUUGGAUCACCUCCUUA
rnacentral:rRNA from 1 species